ACAGAGAGGAACGCGUGGAUGAAUGUAUAAUAGAAAUAUAUUUAAGGAAGUAUAAGUAUAUGCUGGCAGCGUUUACUUGUACUACUUAUUACUACUAGAAAAGGCUAUGAGGCUGAGAGGCCCUACAAAUUGAUUCGGAGUUAAACGAUACUCGACGGUUUCGAGAACUAAGGAAACUAAACACCAGAGAAGACGUAGAGUUUUCCUAGAAGUGAGAAUCGCUUCGACAGAUUUAUACAACCAUCGAUGUUAAUUUAAACACUCGUGACGUUCUAAAUCGCUGUCCGAUUCGGACAAUUUUUACCAACACACAACUGCCAAUAAGAUAACAUACAAGUACACACCGUCUUACAUCCCAAGGAAGAGUAGUUCUGUAAUAUUUCCAGAGAAGAGAAACAUAGUCCCAGAUGGAAUUUAAGCAACAAAUUACGAUAUGCACUCUGCAAAAAACAGCCUUUGGUUUGCUUUAAGAUGCUACGUUGUAGCAUCAGCGUCUUUGAGUCAAACGAAGCGAGUCAGACUCGAAGAACGCGCGACUGUGACACUUUCCUUUUUUCGCGUACAAUCGUCAGAUGCGUGUCAAGGGAUCCGUGGUAUCAGCAAGAUAGAGUUUCGCGGUGCAUUUGUCAGAGCGUAUAAGCAAAAGGAUUUGCCCUGCACAUUGCGCGAAAUUCUCUAUGCCGAUCUCCCGUUCAUAGUCUCCUUUUACAUCGACAAUUUUCUUUCUUCUCGUCUUUCUAUUGUAAUUAUCCAACGGUUUGUUUUAACAUCACCAACCCUUUGACAGCGUAGCUAACGCGACGAAGGAAUCAGAAUGAAGUAUUCGGAAUAUAAUUAAGUCCUUUUGGCCGCGUUUUCUUACGCGAUUUUGCAACGUGAACGAUACGUUGUUUGCUUCUUAAUGAAACGUAAAGCGCAACAAACACCACAGGGCUGUGUACAUAACGUCGUCGUAAAAUACGCUGCUUAAAGAAAUCUUUUUUAUUCCACGAUUCCUCGAAAUUUCAAACUUCCAAACGUAGUAAGAGGAUUAAGCGUGAACUCAAUAAUUCUCUUUAAUACAACGAAGAACGAAUUUCACAAAGGGAGCAAAUGAAAAUUGCAAACUUCAACUUAUAUAAAGCGGAAUCGCGAAGAAAUUUCCUACGAACGGAGGCAAGAAUUUUCAAAGCUCUUGUCUCGUAGCGACAAUAUGGAUAUUGCGAGCUACUGCGAUCGUACAAAGUUUCUCAAGAUGUCUUGACGUGGAAGAAAAAUCUAUCGAUUACACACUUGCGAAACUUGACGUUUUUCACGCAACUCAAUUUCGCCUUUACCGCGUUUACGACAGCUCUGUCUCUAUUUACGAUCUUAGUGCAUAUUACGAAGAAUAGUACGCAAGUAGAGAGCAAGUAAGUAGCUGUGCACGUAUGGGAUGCACGAUAGCGUUAAUUUCGGACAGUCUCGAGAAAUAGAAUUAUACAAAGAAAAAGAAAAAAAAAAGAAAAAAGAAAAAAUAAGGAGGUAGGUAAGGCGAGAAAUUUUUCAGAAAAUAUUCUGUAUUACGCGAGAAACUCCUAGGUAGUUUAUGCGUGAAACAAUAAUGAUUAUAAAUAUAGCAAUAUAGCAAUGAGUAAAAAUAUAGUAGACAAACAUUUUUCGAGGAUGCCUUCUGUCGAAGAGACUCCCUUUUUACAUAGUUAGACCAUAUACACCGCAUACGCUAUAUAAAUAUAUAAUUUCUACUUCUCUAGUUUAAUAUUAGGUUGUUCGAAAAGUUUCUGCCGUUUUAUGAGGAAAUAAUAGACGUUUUUUGUUUUAUAUUAUUUUGUCGAAUUACGAUCAAUUUUGUUCUGUUGAGAUAACGCGACAUUUCACUGACUUGGUUUCACGUUUGCGAAAGAAAGACACUUUUCAGACAAUCUAAUACUAUUUAGAAUUACUUAGUGUAUUUAAUAAUCAUCAUUAUUUUCCAUAAUUUUACGACGUCAACAAUAUCUAAUAUUUUUAAUACACUUACAGUUAUUUAAUCUACAGUCUGCUUUCUCGCAAAAUCAUCCCGUUCGUCAAAAGAAAGAAGGAAAUAAAAGACAGAGAUCCCGUAAAGAGUUAUGAUCAUUAAAGGUUAGGGUCGUAAAAACGGUAUUAUAUCUUUAGCAUUUCUUACACCGCAGGGGACUUUAAAGCCUAACGAGAGCUUCGAAGAAGAGGAAAGACACGAAAGCAAAGAGGUAGACGGCGAAAUUUAACGAAUGAAAACAGCAUCGAGUAUACGGGAUGUAUGAAUUAAAAAAAAAGGGGGGGGCGACGAGGGAAGAUGAAAGAAGAAUACGAAAGCUGGACGUGGAGAAAGAGUGGCUCGAAGCGAACUGAGGAAAAGGCAGGUUUCAUCGUUGAUAUUCGCAAUUCACGAGCUUAAUAUGCAGUGAAAACAGAGGACGUAACAGGGGAUAAUGUAUCCCGUGAAAAUGGAGCGGAAAAAAAAGAAAAAGAUAAAAAAACGACAAGGGACGAAAAUAGAAAAUUCAACGAAUGAAAUUACUCGACGAGGGGAAGCAUUAUCCUAGCGGGCAACCGAACGCUAAGAAGCAAGGUUUCCCUCGUGUUCCGGUUCGUGCGAGAUUAAUUCCCGGUUGUCGUCCUUUGUAAAUUUCAGCCAAGAAUUUCGUCGUGUGCCAUGGUCGUGCGUGGCUUAUAUUAUCUCGUUCCCGUACACUCUGCCUCGUUAUACAAUUCCCCAAGGAUUUCGCGCAGCGAUUGCAAGGUGGGCAAGGGGCUGGGCAAAUAAAGAAAAAAGCAGCGACAAUCGCGGCGGUAGAUUCCUCAAAGGAAGGAAAUUGUGUAUCGCAAAUAAAAGAAUAGGCCGGCUCUGCUGCGAGGUAAACGUGGAAAUGAAUCUCAGGGAGUUAUUCAUUCAUUAGAAGGACGAGGGAAAGAAAAGAGGAAAACACGAGUACACACACACAAUAGAAUUAUCUAGCCGGAGGCGGAUGCACUGAUACUCUAGUUUACAAUUGAUGAGGAUUUACGCUCGCAGAACGACAAAUGACCGGAACGAACGAGCGAAUUGUUUCACGUGUCAUGGACAUUACGUGCAAAGGUAUACUCGCAUCGCACAGGAGCGAUAUUGAAAUUUUCUCGAUGUUAACGAUUUCAAGUAACAGAGAAAUGAACGAAAUAUAGGUAAAAAAAGAUCGAGUAGAAAGCAGAGUUAAAGCGAAAACACAGUUGCUACGUAGAUCCUAUUAAUGGAGCAACAUCUGCCUCGAAAAAAUAGUUUUAUCUACGUUUCGCGUUCCUCGGUUCAGCGCGACCACAAGUGGACCAACGCGAAAGCUGCUUUAAUCCCGGUCAGAUUCAAAUAUCCAUGUUCGGAAAAUUCCAUUCGAAUCUUAACACCCGGUCCAUUAUCGUGGUCCAUUGCGGGCGAGCGAAAAAAGGAAGAGGUGGAGCCCGUUGUUCGACUUUGAAAUCCUCGGGAUAUUCCCUGGUGUGAGGCGAGGGGAAGGGUGGAAAAAGGACGGGCGUCAAAGUGUGGGCGAGGGAACGAAAAGGGAAGGAAGAGAGAGAAUGGUAUUCCGUUGGCGCAAAGGUACAAUACGUUGUGCAAGAUAGUCAGGUCGUCUUUGGCGACGGACGGCGUCCUAAGGGAUAAGCCGAGAGUGGCUGGUACCGCUAACCACGUUCGAUAAGCGGUCAGGUCAGAUUCUACGAAUCCUCGCGUUCCCCUUCGCCACUAUCUUCCGGUAUAGUCGCGGGCAACUGUGGCACAGCAUGCUCGUCGUCGAACUUUCCGAAACUGAACAGAGCGCAAUGGAAGGAACAGAGUGCCUUCGACAAGCCCUCGUUUUCCUCCCCGCUCCAGAAGAACUUGAUUGCUUCGCUGCCCUGUCGACCUUUACCUAUAGAAAUGUUUUGUCUGUUCCCGUAGGAAUGUAAGUACCCGGUACGUUGUUAUCGGUACACGUUCAUUCGAACGUGCACUCGUCCGUACGUACGUAUUCCAUGCAUGUUAAGAAUGUACACGAUACGCACAAACGCGCACAGUGAAGACGUACAUCUCCGUUCGUGAGUAUUAGCUGAUAGUAUUUUUCGCAGACGUAUCAUCGGUCUGCUGCACGUCCGUAUGGUAAAUUUUCAAAUUUACUUUUCACGCAGACCAAGCACCGCGUGAAAAAUUCUAUUCUACGUUUUUGACCUAUUUUCACACGCAGAGCAAAAUCCUAGCGAUUAUUUCCUUCUAUUCGGUCAGACGGAAUUAGCCACGUUGAAUCGUAUUUGAUAAAUGCUGAAACCCGAUUUUCUCGGAAACUAAGCCUUUUUCUUGUUUCUUUCACGAGGUAUCGCUUUCAACCUGCUUGGCGCGUUAUUCGGCCACAUCCUAUGUAGACCUGAAAAAGCGUCGAGAACCUAUUCAAAUUUUUACGAUUAUUAUCUCGUUUGGAACUACGGAUUACGAGGAAUCCGUAUAUUCUGCGCUAUAAUCAGCGUCUCAUAAAUGUCUACCUUCUGUCGAUCACUGUUUUAACUAAUUUUACAUCGUCGGUAGAUGUUUACGCAAUAUUAUAUCCUUAUGAAUGAAAUUAAGGAAAUGAAAUAUGCAUAAAAAUUUGUUUCAUCUCUUAGGUGUUACGAUAACUUUGGAUAUUUUACAUAUACUUACGUAUCACGUGCAUCAUAUACAUACACAUGAUUCUCGAUUUAUUAUUCUAAUUUUCAUUUGUGAUAUUGAUUUGUAAAGUUGAAAAAUAAUCAUAUUUUUUUUACAAUAUAUAUUUUAUCAAUUACCGAUUAUUCUAAUUCCGAUCAUUUAAUCGUCCCUUCGACAGUUACGAUCAAUUAUUACAUUUUGUACGAUACCAACCGGCUGAUAUUAAUGAACGGCAGUGUAAGUACGUGGCCGUACACAACCGCACACAACCGUACGUCACAACACGAGACGUCGUCCUGGACAAAUGGGAUUCGUGCCGUGCCAUUGACUGCGCUCGACGUACGGACAGAUUAGCGUUAAUGUGUUUUGUUGACUCCCAGGUCCUGAUUCGAGUUGGAUGUAUCGGGAUAUCGAGCAUCUCCGUGUUGUACGCCCCUAGAUGCGAGUAUCCACGAGAUUUUCGCUAGUGGACCAAGUCGAGACAUCGUCCGUGAAAUUAGACGAGCGGAGAACUGGCCGCGGAUCCCGCUACCUUCGGAAUUUCGCUAUUGCACAGUCCCGUUAGCUCGAGAGACUCGUAAUCUAAACGAGAAGAAAAGCGGAAUUGCACGAGCAAAGAUCUUACCGUGGAUAUUUCGGCCCUCUAAUUUUAUCUUUAACGUGCGUGUUGUUAUUUGCCAGAUUGGUUUUGUUCGAUUAUUAGACGUUUAGCGUUAGUUUCAGUAUUGGUUUUAGUGGUAAGAUUGAACAUGCCCGCUCGUUACAUAAAUCACAUGCCACGGGGGAAGCCGUGCUCGCGCGUAUCUGUAGUUUCCGCGAGAGGCUUAACAAUGGGUAUAUAGUUUCGGCUGGUUAGAGAAUCGUCGUAGCUCGAGUGAAAAGCGAGUGCUAUACUCUGUACUCAAGAUUAUGGCUUCGUUCGUGUUCAGAAUUCAACUCGAGUCUUCUUGUCCCGUUCCUAAGAAUAAAAUCGAUUUUUCUGUUUCAUACCGAAGGAGUUGUAGCGACACUCGACAAGAAAAAUUUCCAACGUUUUCGUUGGUACAAAAUAUAUCACCGAAGCGUAAGGCCGACAGGCCUAACGAGCCAUCCAUAUCCCUACGGUCCUUCCGCCGAAUAUUUCGUACGUGGCAACGAACGCGCGCGUAGUGCGAAUAUUGAGAGGCGACAAAAAGAAACGAAUCGUAUCGAGAAAACAGUGGAGUUGCGAGAAUGGUCAGUUGAAAUCGAGAGUCGUACGUAAAGAGUCGAAAGUUGGAAUUAAGAUUAAUAAUCCGUGGAAGACACGAUGUUUGUGUUGAAAUAAUAUUAUGUGAUAUUUAUUAAACAAUUAUUACAGGAAAUACAAGCGAGUGUUGUGCAAUGUAGACAGUUGGCUAGUUAUUCUCAGACUGACUGACUCAGUGACCCAUGGGCCUUGAAAAGAUUUUGAACCCCCACUCUCUAUGCAGUAACGAGUGUGACCCGAGUAGAUUCUGUGUGGCGUCACAUGUGCCAUUCCUGGAACCUUCCAGUAGCUUCUCGAUACAAAGCGCUACGCCGUCAAGGCGCCACACCGACGUGCCCAAUGUUCCAUUCAUAUCCUUACGCUUCUUCCGCCGAAUUCUCGAAAGAGCAUGCACACGCUAGCCGCCGCGGUACAUCUAACGAACGUACGCUAUCAUUGGGAUAUCGCUGGUCAACGAAGGGAAGAAUCCGUUCGAUCAAUCACCUCACCUCGUUAAUAUCGUUGUAUUCCAACAAUUGUUAAUAAAUUUCUUUGGCACCCUACAUAUCCUACACCAGAAUCACGUCAGAGUUUCUAUUAAAACCCAACCGAUUUACCUAGAUAUAACGUUAGAAACCAUCGGUUGCGUCAUACGUUUCUAUAUUUUUCACAUUUCCAGUCAUAUCGGCUAUAGUUGACUAGCUUAUUUUUUUUAUCGAAUCUCGCCACUAGACCGAACCUGCUGGAUCGAGAGACUGUUAUCUAAGCGAGAAGAAAAAGGAAAUUAGGCGAGCGGGGAUCUCGUCGCGAAUCCUCUGACCUUCGAAUUUCGCUACUGGACCAUCGGGAUAGGUGGAGACACUGUUAUCUAAGCGAGAAGAAAAGCCAUAUCCGUUAUCCGGUGGAUGCAUCGCGCGACCCGGUACACGUGUUUCUCUCCCCUUAGCUCACGUUGAACGAUAGCAGAUCCCGAAGGGUCGUCGAGUUUAAUUGUGCCCAAUGCUGCAAGCGCAACGUUUCUAUUCCCAUUGGCUAUCGGCGGAGCCCGGAUUAGAGGGUUAUCGUAUAUUUGCUAUUUCAGUAUUUUUGCCCUGCGACCGGCAGCACCGCUGAAUGAAAUUGAAAGGGACGUACGGGAUAAUGGUUUCCGCCGAGCUCGAUAGACGGACGAUUUUCUGCCCCUCUGAUAUUGAAUUCUUUCUCGGCAGAACGAAUCGAAACAGUCUUAUAGUUAGGACGUUCUUGAACAAUAAUUUCCCGGCUAACGAUAUUAAGGAAUUGACAAGCGACAAGUCGAAAGUUGUAGAUUUUCCUUCGCAAGUUUAAGCUGGUCGCGGUCCUCCGAUCUUUGUAUUUCAAGCUUAGAAAUUAAGAAAUAUUUCGGAAAUUGAAAGAAAAGCAUUACUCUUAAAAGUAGAAUUAACACGAACGCACGUACAAAUUGGUUAGAGACGACGUGUUUACUCAAAUUCAUGUUACAGAUGUACGUCAAAUCUUCUUUUUGUAUAUAUAUUCUUGAAAUAUUUUCGAUAAAUCAUAGUUAAUAACGAAAUAUCAAAAUAAUCAUUCGAAAGCCGCGUAUCUAUAAAUAUUCAUUUGAUCCGAUCUCUCUCAUCAAUGGGAAUUCAUCGGAAAGAAUCAUAAUAGAGAAAUAAAUAAUAAAUAAUCUUUCCGUAUAAAUAAUACAUAAAAUUCUACCUCGAAGAGAAGUGUCUUUCUUUUACAGACGCGUCUUUUACAGCGACGCAUCUUUAUACAAACACGAAACCUAAUCCUUCGAACGUUGUGAUCUUCAUCUUGAUAGAACAAAGUCGAUCAUACGUAAUUCGAUAAAAUAAUAUAAAACGGAAAAUGUGGUGCAUCCAUUAUUUCCUUAUAAAACGAAAGAAACCUUUCGGAACACCUAAUACUUUGGAACGCGACCGGAAGGCUGAUUGAAACAAAAGGUAGAAUGCUAAAUAAUAGGAGAUUAUUUCUUUUUAAACGCGGUUUAAAAGGUAAAGAAAGAUCGGAAGCUUUUGCCUCGCUCUUGCUUCCUAAAUUGCAGAAUAUAUGUUUAAACUCGGUUGUUGGAGCGUUCGCGCGGUUACAGAAAGAAACAGCAAGGAGAAUUUUUCUUUCUAAAAAGUAACGCGUGUAACGGUUGCGGUGGCGUGGCACGCGGAACGUAACUGCAACGCUGUGCAGUAUUCUUCUAUCGAGGCGAGGUGUGGCCGGAUUUUUUAACGUUUCCCAGCCGGAAGGAAAUUUAAAAGAAUUAUAUCGCGCAAAAAGGCAUCGAUACUUUAGCUGUUACCACGUGAAAUGGAUUCCUCGAGGAGAACUCUCGUCCAAACGAUAGGCGUUAUGAACUUUACCUAGUAGCAGUAUCAACGGCAUCGCGUUCCAGUUCUGAUAUUACGAACACUGAAACACAAGUUCCUUGGGUCAUGUCGUGGUAUCGUAUUGGAUUACGAUGCUAACACGCGUUGACCGUGACGAUUUCAAUGUACUCGAGAAAUCAUCUCGAUCGGUGAUGCAAUGAAAGCUGAACGAUGUCCAUAUUGGAAUAUUUGUAUAACGCUGGAUUUAAUCCUUCGCUCUACGGACGUGUAUUUGCGUCAAGCAAAAUCCAUUUUCAUUACCCGUGAAUAUGUAUUUCCCGUAAAGAUAAUUACGAUUUAUUCUUAGGUACUUUCGUUAAUCUGACAAAAUGAUAUCACGAGUAAAAAAUGAGUUGUUAUUAAAUCGACAACAAAGUGCGAUAUUAACAAUUACCAAAAUGCUUCUUUUCGAUAAAAAGUCAUGGUUAUCUUCAGUAGCUUUAUUUUUAUCUUAUUUCCUCGGUUUCAGCGUAUGAUAUUUAGUUCCCUUAUUCUACUCAAUUUUCCUAGAAGAAAACUUUAAUCCGAUAUCGCUGAACUUGUUCCAAUUUCGACCAACGUACCUCGUAUUUCGUUUCGACGACAUAAUAACAGCUCGAAAAAAAAAAAAAAAAAGAUUGAGAAAGAUUCGUGUAAAAAAGUGAAAGUAAUUUCGAUUGUUUAUCGAAAGGAAAAUCUUUGGUCAUUUUUAACGCUGAACUGUCUUAUUCGCUUAUAUGCGUGUAACAAAGUUUAUAAUCAAAAAAUUGAAUAUCUCUUUCACUUAAGUAGAUUUAUGUCGCGAUUGGUGUCUCCUGCUCUUGGUAAUUUGUACAUCAUUUGUCCACGAUCUUUAUAGAAACAGAAGAAAUAUAUUCCGACUAUGAACGUGUCUGGCCAAUUUGAGUAUAUCGCUGUUUAACAUAAAAAUAGUCUGAUCCCGAAGGGUUGGAAUUUCCAACAUUAACAUUCACUUAGAACUGUAUGAAAUUUCAAAUUAGUUAUGACGUGAUACGAUGAAAGAUGAACAUAGGUCUGGCGAUUCGACUAGUUGCGGCCGAAAUUUCCAUUCCAUCGUGCAGCAAACUUCUGAGAAUUUGAGAACGUCGACUCGAAUAAGCAUUAUCGAGGUGCUUGACGGCGAACUGCUGUGGCUAAUGCACUACAAGCGAUAUGUCCAGCAUAUCCCGUGUACAUUACGCAUUACUGUUCGAAAUUUAAGGUAACCGAAGUUCUCGGCUCAAUUGCUUCAACGAGUUGCUUACGAUGCUUAUUAUUUACGGUGUUUGUUAACACCGCUGACUGUAGUUACUUUUGUCGACAGCGUUCCUCUGUAAGCGACUUACAAACGAAGAGAGUUUCUAAUUAAUUAAAGAAUUAACAUGACAAAAGCUUUGUGUUUCAAAAUGUACAGCGUGUCCGGAAAGGCCGGCACAAAGCUUGUACUAUGUGUCAAUGAGGUCAAGUAGAUAAAAAAGGUUGGUACGAACCUGUGUUCGAAAAUACUUUAUCGAAGUUAUAAGAGUUCAGAAAGUUUUGUUAAUUGUUUUGUCAGUUUGUCAAACAAAUUGUCAAUAAAAACAUUUUGUCAAACAAAUGUUCAAAAUUUCUUCUUUUUGCAAAAAUGCAGCUUUCCAUUCGUCGGACUCUUUCGAAUAUGGUUGCUGUUGUAGCGGUAAGUGGAUACAUUCUCAAAGCUGGUCUUUCGUUCCCGUCGCUUUUUCAUAAACCAAGAACAACUUUUCUGAAAAUCUUCUCGCACACUUACAACUUAUAACUUGUUGACAAAUCGUUUUCCAACAUAAGUUUAUUCGAAUUUUUCUUACUUACUUGACCUGGUCGACGCGUAAUACAAGAUUUGUCCCGACCUUUUCGGACAUCCGGUAUAUACAAUGCCGAAAGUAUUUUAAUACUUAUGGAAAAUUUUAAUGAAUAUAUUACGUACACGAAAAUUCGAUUGGCGCGUAAACGACACAGGUUGGCUACGAAGAGUUAAAGUAUUUAUAAACUCGAUGAUAUUUCCAAUAAAUUAUUCAUUAGGUUUUAAAUGCAAAUUGUAUUACAUUGGGUUGUCGUGGAUGAACCGAUCAUGUAGUACUGUAAUGAAAAAAAAAAAAAAAAAAAAAAAGGAAGAAAAGAAGAAAAAGAA